ensembl:misc_RNA Y_RNA Y RNA
GGCUGGUCCGAGCGCAGUGGUGUUUACAACUAAUUGAUCACAACCAGUUACAGAUUUCUUUGUUCCUUCUCCACUCCCACGACUUCACUUGACUAGCCUUUA